rnacentral:rRNA from 1 species
GAUGAACGCUGGCGGUAUGCUUAACACAUGCGAGUCGAACGGACUCUUCGGAGUUAGUGGCGGACGGGUGAGUAACGCGUGAGAAUCUGGCUUUGGGUUCGGGACAACCACUGGAAACGGUGGCUAGUACCGGAUGUGCCGAGAGGUAAAAGAGAAAUUGCCUGAAGAUGAGCUCGCGUCUGAUUAGCUAGUUGGUGAGGUAAAGGCUCACCAAGGCAGCGAUCAGUAGCUGGUCUGAGAGGAUGACCAGCCACACUGGGACUGAGACACGGCCCAGACUCCUACGGGAGGCAGCAGUGGGGAAUUUUCCGCAAUGGGCGAAAGCCUGACGGAGCAAUACCGCGUGAGGGAAGAAGGCUCUUGGGUUGUAAACCUCUUUUCUUAGGGAAGAACAAAAUGACGGUACCUAAGGAAUCAGCAUCGGCUAACUCCGUG